rnacentral:rRNA from 1 species
GCACCCGCGGUAAUUCCAGCACCAAUAGCGUAUAUUAAUGCUGCUGCUGUUAAAAAGCUCGUAGUUGGAUCAAGAGCUGGACAGUGCACGGUGGCCUCGUCGACUGCGUGGUUCCGAUCACAAGGGAGGCGGUGGAUCAACCCCGUGCAUCAAACUGUCCACUCUAACAGGCCGAAGCGGUUCCCUGUGAGUAAGCUCCUUCAUUGGGGCUGAAAGCGCCUUCGCAUCAACCAUAUGCAUACGGGACGUCGGCCAAUGUUACUGUGAACAAACCAGCGUGUUCAAAGCAGGCUUCUCGCCUGAACGUUCGAGCAUGGAAUAACAAGGGAUCGAUUCUCUCGGUUCUUUUUGUUGGUUUUUAACCCGAGAAGGAGAAAUUCAGGUCACGGUGUCUGAGUUGGGUACCCCUUCACCUAGGUGGAGGCCCCAAUUAGGCCGUGGCCUUACGGGACUAAUAGGGACGGACGGGGUCGUACCUACUUCCACGUCAGAGGUGAAAUUCUUAGAUCGUGGGAAGACGAACUUCUGCGAAAGCAUUCGACAAGAACGCCUUCAUUAAUCAAGAACGAGAGUGUGGGGAUCGAAGAUGAUCAGAUACCGUCGUAGUCCACUACUGUAAACAAUGCCGUCUCAGGAUUGAGAAGUGAACUCUAUGACCUUCACAGCACUAACCCCUGAAACGAGAAAUCAAAGAUUUUGGGUUCAGGGGGGAGUACAUUCGCAAGGCUGAAACUUAAAGGAAUUGACGGAAUGACACCACAAGGCGUGGAGUAUGCGGCUUAAUUUGACUCAACACGGGGAAUUUUACUAGGUCAGGACAAUGUAAGGAUUGACAGAUUGAGAGCUCUUUCUCGAUCCAUUGUGUGGUGGUGCAUGGCCGCUCCUGGUUGGUGGAGUGAUUUGUCUGGUUGAUUCCGUUAACGAACGAGAUCUCGACUCUUAAAUAGGUGCCGUUGUCGAUUGUAGAUUCAUCUCGCCUAGCUUGCUAGAUCCGAGUGGGUCGAGACUGGCGGAAUACUUCUUAAGAGGACUGUGUGCGUCUCUAGCACGCGGAAGUGCGAGCCAAUAGCAGGUCUGUGAUGCUCCUAAAUGUCCUAGGCUGCACGCGCACUACACUGAUGCAAUAAACGAGUCUGAGUGCCUCCUGGCAACCUACCUGGAAGCGGGUGGGAAAUCUUUUGAACUUGCAUCGUGAUGAG